ensembl:rRNA 5S_rRNA 5S ribosomal RNA
CUUAGCAUCUACAGCCAUGCCACCUGCCUGAUUUCGUCUGAUAUUGGAAGCUAAGCAGGGUCAGGCCUGGUUAGUACUUGGAUGAAAGACCACCUAGGAAUACCAGGUUCUCUAGGC